UCUAAACAUUAAACAGAAAGGUAAGAAAAGCUGAACCAUUUGUAACCUCAUUCAGCCCUUCGCGGGAUUGUGCGUGCAUGUGUGUAAGUAACUGCAGGACAGUCUGUAUCUGAGGCUAGAAUGUGGCUCUUUGGUUCAGAGUUUUGUCUUAGAAAGUCCAAAACAAACUAGCAUAGAGCUUGCUCUGUGCAGCUCAACAGCAGUGCCACAGGCAGCUGUACCUAGCAGCGUGUGAUGUUUUCCAGCAGAUUAUUGGUUAUCACUCAAACUGUGGGUUUUUUUGUUUUUUUUCUUUAAUAUUAUUGUGUGAAAGAGUCAGACAUUGAGAAUGUAGGUGGGGUCCAGAAAAAUAGCCCUACACUUCUUUCAAGGCACUUCUAGUCUCAUCUGCAUUACCGUCUCUUAUGUCAGUCCUUGAACACUGAAUAAUAAGAUGCUAGCUGGGCCAAAUUGUGUGGUGACUUUUUUUUUUAUUUGAAUUCGUUCCAUUUUUAUGUUAGGGCUGUUCUCUGGAUUCUUUUUUUUAAACCAUAUGUGUUUAGCCUGAAAUAACUUAUAUUGUAGGCUUGGUUAAAUUCAAUUUUUACUUUAAAAAAUGCUGUGGAUAAUGACGCUUAUUUUUAAUUUUUGUUUUUAUUGAUUUAAACGUUCACAGUUGUGGGAAAUUAUGGUGGCUUAGAUAAUUUAAUGACUGACGCAGCGAUUCAAGAAGUUAACUGUUAAAGAUAUUUGCUUUGUAUAUUUUGAUGUGAUAUUGACAACGUUUAAAUCAGACUUGUUCUCAAACAGCAUUUUUCUUUCUUUGCCUAUUUGUGAAUUUUGAUAAACUAAUUCCUUUUAU